rnacentral:rRNA from 1 species
UACAGAGGGGGCAAGCGUUAUUCGGAAUUAUUGGGCGUAAAGGGUGCGCAGGCGGUUGGGUGUGUCAGAUGUGAAAUCCCGAGGCUUAACCUCGGAACUGCGUCUGAAACUACUCGACUAGAGUACUGGAGAGGGUAACGGAAUUCACGGUGUAGCAGUGAAAUGCGUAGAUAUCGUGAGGAACACCAGAGGCGAAGGCGGUUACCUGGACAGUUACUGACGCUCAGGCACGAAAGCAUGGGGAGCAAAAGGG